rnacentral:lncRNA from 1 species
UGCUCAUUAAUUCUCACAAAAAAAACAAAAAGAGGAGAGUGAUCGAGAGAUGCUAUGAAAACAGCCAUAGAUAAAGUGACAUCGUCAGAACCCUGGGUAGACUGCCAGAUCUGUGGAUGUUGAGCUCACAAUGCUUGUGCUAGGGUGGACAAUGAAGAUUUGGAGCAAAUACAAAUUUUUGUUUGUUUUGUGAGAAUUAAUUAGCAUCACCAUCAUGCCCCAAUCCCAUUACCCCAUCAUACCCCAUAGUAUGGGGCAAGAUGGUUUUUCAUAAUGUUCUUAUUAAUGGCUAAUUGUUGAAAAAU